rnacentral:rRNA from 1 species
UACGUAGGGGUGCAAGCGUUUAAUCGGAAUUACUGGGCGUAAAGCGUGCGCAGGCGGUCUUGUAAGUCUGUCGUGAAAUCCCCGGGCUCAACCUGGGGAAUUGCGAUGGAGACUGCAAGGCUAGAAUCUGGCAGAGGGGGGGUAGAAUUCCACGUGUAGCAGUGAAAUGCGUAGAGAUGUGGAGGAACACCGAUGGCGAAGGGCAGCCCCCUGGGUCAAGAUUGA